AUGGAGAUUGCCAUGGGGGCCAUCGGCCCUCUCCUACCAAGGCUCACUGAUCUGCUUGUCGGCGAGUUCACCCUGGAGAAGCGAGUGCGGAAAGGCAUCGAGUCUCUGAUCACAGAGCUCACGUUGAUGCACGCUGCCCUCCGCACGGUGGCAAAGGUGUCACCAGAUGAGCUCGAUGAGGGGGUCAAGAUUUGGGCAGAAAAGGUGAAGAGGUUGUCCUACCAAAUGGAGGACAUCGUUGACACCUUCAUGGUGCAUGUGCAGGAUGGUGGUGAGCCAGCCAACCCGAAGAACGGAAUCAAGAAGUUACUCAAGAAGACCACCAAACUAUUCAAGAAGGGCAAGAAUCUCCAUCGGAUAUCCGAUGCUCUAGAAGAAGCGGUUGGUCAGGCUAAACAAUUGGCCGAGCUACGUCAAAGGUACGAGCUUGUGCAUGACACCGGUGCUGGAGCUAGCAUUGACCCUCGUGUCAUGACGCUAUACAAAGAUGUCACAGAACUUGUUGGCAUUGAAGAUACCCGCGAUGAGUUGAUCAACAGGUUGAUCGAGGGUGAUGAUUGGUUGAACCAUCCAAAGAAGACGGUCUCUAUUGUUGGGGUUGGCGGCUUAGGCAAGACAACUCUUGCCAAAGCAGCAUAUGACAAGAUCAAAGUGCAAUUCGAUUGUGGUGCAUUUGUUUCAGUUUCUCAGAAUCCCGAUAUCAAAAAAAUCUUGAAGGAUAUUCUCUUUGAACUUGACAACAACAAGUAUACAAAGAUUUAUGAUGAAGUCAGGGAUGAAACACAUCUCAUUGACGAGAUCAUUAGAUUUCUUAAUGACAAGAGGUACCUUAUUGUAAUUGAUGACAUAUGGGAUAAAAAGGUUUGGGAAAUAAUCAAGUGUGCAUUUUUCAAGAAAAGUAUCGGAAGUCGGCUAAUCACAACAACUCGUAUUGUCAGUGUGUCUAAAGCAUGUUGUUCAUCUAUUGAUGAUAUUUACAAAAUGAGAGUUCUUUCCAAUGAUGUAGCAAGAAGACUCUUCAAUAAAAGAGUAUUUUCUCAUGAAAAAGAGUGUCCUCAUGAAUUGGUGCAAGUUUCUGAAGAUAUCUUGAAGAAAUGUGGUGGGAUACCACUAGCCAUUAUUACUAUAGCAAGUCUUCUUGCUAGCAACUGUCAAAUAAAAAUGAAGGACCAGUGGUACAUCUUGCUCAAUUCCAUUGGAAGAGGACUUACAGAAGAUCCUGAUGUGGAGGAAAUGAAGAAGAUAUUAUUGUUUAGCUAUUAUGAUCUACCUUCCCAUUUGAAGCCUUGUUUGUUAUAUCUGAGUAUCUUUCCAGAAGAUCAUAAGAUUAUGAGGGAUGAGCUUAUAUGGAGGUGGAUAGCAGAAGGAUUUAUUUGCAGUGAAAAACAGGAAACUAGUUUAUAUGAGCUCGGUGAUUGCUAUUUUAAUGAGCUUAUAAAUAGAAACAUGGUCCAGCCAGUGGACAUCGACGAAGAUGGAAGGGCAGAAGCUUGCCACGUGCAUGACAUGGUGCUUGACAUCAUAUGUUCCUUGUCAAGUGAAGAAAACUUUGUCACCAUAUUGGAUGGUACUAAGAGAAAACUGCCUAACCCGCAAAGGAAGGUUCGCAGAUUAUCCAUCCAUAAGAGCAACACAGAUGUACUGGCUACCACCAGCAUAGCACAAGCGAGGUCUGUUACUGUUUUUGGAAAUGAUAUUGUUCAACAAAUGCCGCUUAUUUCAAGUUCUAAAGGUCUGCGUGUGCUGGCUUUAGAAGGUUGUACUAUUUCAGAUAUUGGGCACAUGGACAAUUUGUUACACCUGCGGUACCUAGGCCUAAGAGGUACAUGGGUUGAAGAGUUCCUGGUUGAUAUAGGAAAGCUGCAUUUUCUGCAAACACUGGACUUGAGAGGAACUAAAAAUAUACGUGAAUUGCCAUCAAGCAUUGUUUGGUUAAGAAAUCUGAUGUGCCUAUAUAUCGAUGAGGCCAUGAACAUGCCAUGUGGGAUUGCUAACCUGACGUCCCUAGAAGUGCUAAAGGAACUGCGUUUGGUUGAUGAUAAUCUAGUCAUUGUGAAAGAGAUGUUCCAUCUAAUCAAGUUGAAGGUGCUCGAGAUUGGAUGGUACUGUAGUCGUCUUGAUGAAAGCAUGGGAAAAACUUUGGCGAAAUCCCUAAGUAAUCUGCAUAGGUUGGAAAGUCUACGUAUUAAUGCACAUGGACGCAUCUAUUUCUUGCAGGAAGGCUGGAUACCCCCUCCACAGCUCCGUAAAUUAGUGUUUUACAUAUAUGGCAGUGUCGCGUUUGACACACUGCCUUCAUUUAUUAGCCCGACAUUGCUUCCUCUCCUCUCCUACCUGGUGAUAACGGUGUAUGAAUUGCAACCAGAGGACAUUCAGCUUCUUGGGAUGCUGCCCAAUCUUCGUUAUCUCUAUUUCAGAGGGGUCAUCACCAAGAGCUUAUCAAUGGAGGAUGCCACAAUAAUUUCCGGCCCUAAUUUUUCCAGUUCCUGCUUCAGUUCCGCAGCGAAGUUGUUCCUUACAUCUGAUGCCUUCCCAUGUGCGACCAAGUUAUCCUUCGAUGGUAUUCCUGUGAUGCCGUCAGCAUUCCCUCGAGGAGCCGCCCCAAGGCUUAAACACCUUGAGUUUUCCUUCCGAGCUAAGUGGAUCACACAUGACGACGUGGAUUUGGGCAUGGGGCACCUCCCUUCCCUCCAGACCGUCAGGGUCCAGCUUCACACUUUUAAAUCCAGCAUUUUGGAGGUGAAGAAAACACAGGCUGCGCUGAGGGCUGCAGCGAGGGACCAUCCCAACCGCCCGGCCGUUAGUAUCCGAAAUGGAAUUGUUUUGGUUCAAAUCAAGGGCUCGAGUCAUCAAAAUCCUGCACACAGGUAG
rnacentral:rRNA from 1 species